rnacentral:rRNA from 1 species
AUUGAACGCUGGCGGCAGGCUUAACACAUGCAAGUCGAGCGGGGUGAUGGUGCUUGCACUAUCACUUAGCGGCGGACGGGUGAGUAAUGCUUAGGAAUCUGCCUAUUAGUGGGGGACAACAUCUCGAAAGGGAUGCUAAUACCGCAUACGUCCUACGGGAGAAAGCAGGGGAUCACUUGUGACCUUGCGCUAAUAGAUGAGCCUAAGUCGGAUUAGCUAGUUGGUGGGGUAAAGGCCUACCAAGGCGACGAUCUGUAGCGGGUCUGAGAGGAUGAGCCGCCACCCUGGGACCGAGACACGGCCCAGACUCCGACGGGAGGCAGCAGUGGGGAAUAUUGGACAAUGGGGGGAACCCUGAUCUAGCCAUGCCGCGUGUGUGAAGAAGGCCUUAUGGUUGUAAAGCACUUUAAGCGAGGAGGAGGCUCUUUUGGUUAAUACCCAAGAUGAGUGGACGUUACUCGCAGAAUAAGCACCGGCUAACUCUGUGCCAGCCGCCGCAGUAA